UACGUAGGGUGCGAGCGUUGUCCGGAAUUAUUGGGCGUAAAGAGCUUGUAGGUGGUUUGUCGCGUCUGCUGUGAAAAUCCGAGGCUCAACCUCGGACUUGCAGUGGGUACGGGCAGACUAGAGUGUGGUAGGGGAGACUGGAAUUCCUGGGUGUAGCGGUGGAAUGCGCAGAUAUCAGGAGGAACACCGAUGGCGAAGGCAGGUCUCUGGGCCAUUACUGGACAC
rnacentral:rRNA from 1 species